UAUAAAACACUGAAUAAUGGCAUUCACACUUUUAAAGCUGUCAUGUCUAACUGCUUAUUCUCAGGUAAUGAAAGGACCCUCAAGCUCUGAUGUAUGGGCUGCUUUCAGAUAUUUUAAGAUUAUUCAACAAAGAAAUAACAGAGAAAAUUUGAAGAUUAUUAUUAUCUUAGAAAGUAAUAGCCUUCUGUUUUCGAGUCCAGUAAAAGGGUAAGAAAUGUAUUUUCAUUUUAAAUAUUCUGCUCUGAUACCAAUAACAAAAAAUAAUGCAGUUUUAAGUGUCAAUGGCAAUACAAUGUACCCAAAGAGAAAUUGUUUUAUGUUUAAUUUUAUAAUGUCAAUUCAAUUGUACAGUCUAACAGAGAGCAUUUAGAAUAACAAUCCCAUUUAUGUACACAGUGGAUUUAUUAUUAAAACUCUUGCUUUGCAUGAAUGAAAUUAAAAUUUCAGUGGCCUUUAGUGACUAAAAAUAUGUGUAUCGCAAGGUAAUAAAUCUAUAAGGUUGGUGCAAAAGUAAUUGCACUUUUUGCCAUUACUUUUAAUUGCAAAAAUCGCAAUUAUUUUUGCACCAACCUAAUAGUUGCUUAUUUGUACAUGUUAUGUGAGAUAAUGCAUAUGGAGCAGUAUAUGCUAUAAUAUACAUAAUAACAUGCACUUGAUUGUUUAUAAACAUAUUUCACACAUGCAUAAACUAUAUUGCAUGGGCAUUCAAUUUUUUAAUUUAUAUAAAUAGCAAAGUAACUUAGGAAAUUUUACCAUCUAAUGCUAACAUGAAUACAGUGUUCAAGAGAGAGAAAAAUUCUGUGGAUGUGCAAAACCGCAUGGUAAAUAAUUGAUAGGUUUUUGUUUAUUUUUCUUGUUUGUUAUUAUCACACAUACAAGGACAUUUGAUUCUAAUUGAUAAUUUUUUGAUUAAUGGAUUAUUUUCUGGUACCAAAUAAUUCUCAAAUUGAUUCAAAUUUAGUUUCAUUUUUAGAGUAGUUUUAUGUAAACUAGAUAAUAAUGAUGAAAAGUGUUUCUUUUAUAUUACAUCUUUAUGUAAUGGUGGAAGAGUCUGUGAAUUCAAUUCAG
rnacentral:lncRNA from 1 species